rnacentral:rRNA from 1 species
GUGAACGCUGGCGGUAGGCCUAACACAUGCAAGUCGAACGGCAGCACAGUAAGAGCUUGCUCUUACGGGUGGCGAGUGGCGGACGGGUGAGGAAUACAUCGGAAUCUACUUUUUCGUGGGGGAUAACGUAGGGAAACUUACGCUAAUACCGCAUACGACCUACGGGUGAAAGCAGGGGAUCUUCGGACCUUGCGCGAUUGAAUGAGCCGAUGUCGGAUUAGCUAGUUGGCGGGGUAAAGGCCCACCAAGGCGACGAUCCGUAGCUGGUCUGAGAGGAUGAUCAGCCACACUGGAACUGAGACACGGUCCAGACUCCUACGGGAGGCAGCAGUGGGGAAUAUUGGACAAUGGGCGCAAGCCUGAUCCAGCCAUACCGCGUGGGUGAAGAAGGCCUUCGGGUUGUAAAGCCCUUUUGUUGGGAAAGAAAAGCAGCAGGUUAAUACCCCGCUGUUCUGACGGUACCCAAAGAAUAAGCACCGGCUAACUUCGAG